rnacentral:rRNA from 1 species
UAGGGAAUAUUGGGCAAUGGGGGCAACCCUGACCCAGCCAUGCCGCGUGAGGGAAGACGGCUUUCUGAGUUGUAAACCUCUUUUAUACAGGAAGACUAGUCCAUGCGUGGAUAAGAGACGGUACUGUAAGAAUAAGCACCGGCUAACUCCGUGCCAGCAGCCGCGGUAAUACGGAGGGUGCAAGCGUUGUCCGGAAUUAUUGGGUCUAAAGGGUGCGUAGGUGGCUUUAUAAGUCAGAGGUGAAAUCCCAGCGCUUAACGUUGGAACUGCCUUUGAUACUGUAUAGCUUGAGAUAAUUUGGGGUAGGCGGAAUUGAUGGUGUAGCGGUGAAAUGCAUAGAUAUCAUCAAGAACACCGAUAGCGUAGGCAGCUUACUAAGAUUAAUCUGACACUGAUGCACGAAAGCGUGGGUAGCGAACAGGAUUAGAUACCCCCGUAGUCC